rnacentral:tRNA from 1 species
GCGGAAAUGGCGAAAUUGGUAGACGCACUGGAUUUAGGUUCCAGCGCCGCGAGGCGUGAGAGUUCGAGUCUCUCUUUCUGCACCA